CGGUAAUACGUAGGGCGCAAGCGUUAUCCGGAAUUAUUGGGCGUAAAGAGCUCGUAGGCGGUUUGUCGCGUCUGCUGUGAAAUCCCGAGGCUCAACCUCGGGUCUGCAGUGGGUACGGGCAGACUAGAGUGCGGUAGGGGAGAUUGGAAUUCCUGGUGUAGCGGUGGAAUGCGCAGAUAUCAGGAGGAACACCGAUGGCGAAGGCAGAUCUCUGGGCCGUAACUGACGCUGAGGAGCGAAAGGGUGGGGAGCAAACAGGCUUAGAUACCCUGGUAGUCCACCCCGUAAACGUUGGGAACUAGUUGUGGGGACCAUUCCACGGUNUCCGUGACGCAGCUAACGCAUUAAGUUCCCCGCCUGGGGAGUACGGCCGCAAGGCUAAAACUCAAAGGAAUUGACGGGGACCCGCACAAGCGGCGGAGCAUGCGGAUUAAUUCGAUGCAACGCGAAGAACCUUACCAAGGCUUGACAUACACCAGAACACCGUAGAAAUACGGGACUCUUUGGACACUGGUGAACAGGUGGUGCAUGGUUGUCGUCAGCUCGUGUCGUGAGAUGUUGGGUUAAGUCCCGCAACGAGCGCAACCCUCGUUCUAUGUUGCCAGCACGUAAUGGUGGGAACUCAUGGGAUACUGCCGGGGUCAACUCGGAGGAAGGUGGGGAUGACGUCAAAUCAUCAUGCCCCUUAUGUCUUGGGCUUCACGCAUGCUACAAUGGCCGGUACAAAGGGCUGCAAUACCGUGAGGUGGAGCGAAUCCCAAAAAGCCGGUCCCAGUUCGGAUUGAGGUCUGCAACUCGACCUCAUGAAGUCGGAGUCGCUAGUAAUCGCAGAUCAGCAACGCUGCGGUGAAUACGUUCCCGGGUCUUGUACACACCGCCCGUCAAGUCAUGAAAGUCGGUAACACCUGAAGCCGGUGGCCCAACCCUUGUGGAGGGAGCCGUCGAAGGUGGGAUCGGUAAUUAGGACUAAGUCGUANNAAGGUAACCAAUCGAAUUCCCGCGGGCCGNNNU
rnacentral:rRNA from 1 species